rfam:Stegodyphus mimosarum contig36518, whole genome shotgun sequence.
GCCUUUGGGGUGUAUUGGUUAGCACAUUCGGCGCGUAUUCGAGAGGUCCAUGGUUCAAGUCCCGGCGAGGGCA